GGCCUUCUCAGAGGCUGGAGCCAGAUCAUAUGUACCACGAACUCAGGGGAAACUGGACCACAGAUUACCUAUGUCACCUCGGGGCUCACUUUAGGUCUUCAUAGCUGCUGGGAAGAGUUCAGGGCACACAAAAUCCCCACUAUACAUCAACCUGAUUGGCAUUCCCCUACCUUAUUACUGCCCUCUCCCCUGACAGCAUGGAUAAUUGGAGGAACUCUAAGGGGAUAAUAAUAAUAACAACAAUAUUCGGAUUAGAGAGGUCACCUGCUGUGAAUCCAGGAAAUAAAAACCAUGCUUAACAAGGUGCAGAAAGG